rnacentral:rRNA from 1 species
UACUCGAGUCAGUCAUCGACGAUCGCCGUCCGUGACACUUUUGCUAUUCCAAAACCUGGUCGGCUCAGCCGUUGGCGUCGGAGAGGGAGAGGGAGGGCUCGAGGCCUCGAGCAGAGGAGAGGAGCGGCCGCAGCGGCGGGGGUACGAGGAGGGUUACGCGCCGGAGGGCCGGCGGGGUGGGGCGGGCGAGCGGGUGGGUGUGCGGAGGGGGCGCGGCGGCGGCGGGAGGGAGGAGUCAGGGGCCGCGGCGGCCGGCAGGGCCUCCGAGAGGUUCCAGCACAGGAUGAUGCCGGAGUGCUGGGGCGGCAUGUUUUGGCUGCGGGACCUCGGCAUGUACUCGUCCGCCCGCCACCUCGACGUGACCCCGUUCGUGGUCGUCCCGGUGCACCUGCCCGAGUUGUUCGUCGACCGGUAGUCGGGCGAGAUGCCGGUGUGGGAGCUCCUGGAGUAGUUCCUCCGGAUGUUGUUGCCGUUGGGCGACGGGCUCAUGUUGCUGCGCCGGCUCCAGACCUUGGUAGUGAAGAAGACCCUCAGCUACGUCGGCCUGCCGCCGCCGAGCGGGCUCCGCCCGCACGACGUCGUCUAGCUCUUCCUGAAGCCGAGGAAAAAAUUAAAGUCCCUCCUCAAGUACGCGAGCCGCGACAGCAACAACCCCAGGCCAACCCAAACCGAACAGAACUUCUCCUCGCUCUCCUUCGAGCUCCACCAAGUGUGCGCUUUACGAUAGUUGGGUGAACGAAAACCUCUGUAAGGUUAGUAGUCGGAUCUGAACACCCUCGUACGAAUGAUGAAUCUAAUGUUCCUACUGUCCGCUUGCAUACACAGUUUGAAAGACCUAGUGGAACACAGAACCGUAUGACAGUGAGAUGCGUACUACGCGCGCCUCCGAAAACACUUGGAACCACUUGGUUGAUAGGGUCACCGUACUCUACUAUGCCUAUACUGGACCUCAACAGAGACUUAUACAGGUAGAGUGCUCCCUACGGUUCCUUUUAGGACUUGGUAUAGGAUGACCUCCUCUGCCUCUCAAACGCCCCCCGUCGCACUACAUUGGUACAGCACGCUACGUGCCACUUGUUCAUUCGAGACGGACUUCUAUUCUGUCGACCCCAAAACAGCAACAGGAGCAGGCAGCGAAGCCCCUUUACUGGAGGGUAAAGUUCAAUAAUACGUCAUUUUCGUCUAUACCUGCGAAGUCUCGUGCCCCUUGAACUGAAAUCUCAUGCACGAUAGCUAGAUUGAACACGAACUUCGGUGUCUUGAAAUACAGAACUCUUGUUAGAGGGUAUCACGACAAUCUUGUCGGGGAUCAAAAGGUACUGAACAUCAGUGUCGAAAAGUAGUAAGACAACAUUGUCUUAAGUCGGUAACACCCGGCUCCGUCUAAGGGGGUACUUACAAACGGAACGAGUUUGUAUGAGAAGAAAAAGUAGUUAUCAACGGACCAGUAUAAUAGGAGAGAAAAGAGGCGGGCUAAGAAGCUUGUAUAGCUUACCAGGGACGUGUCGUUUUCAUAGUCCUUUUUCAACAUGAUAGUACAGCUGCCAAACGUUUUUUCUUUUGGUCGCACGUCAAACGACCUGGCAGAUGGAUUCGAUGACCAACCAUACCGAUCCCUACCGUUACCCAUGGGUAAUGGGUGCAUGGGACGCCCAUUUUUGGGAUAAUCCCAUUCCCAUACCCUGUUUUUUAAUAGGUACCCAUAUACUUAUCCCUUUACAAUUUGGGUAGCCCAUCUCACCCAUGCCCAUACCCUAGUACAUUGGGUAUGGGUGUAUGGGUACAUGGGUAUAUUUUAGAUAUACUUGAGUUUUAAUAG